rnacentral:rRNA from 1 species
GCUUAACACAUGCAAGUCGAGGGGCAGCAUGGUCUUUUCUUGCUAAGGCCGAUGGCGACCGGCGCACGGGUGAGUAACGCGUAUCCAACCUGCCUUACACUCUUGGACAGCCUUCUGAAAGGGAGAUUAAUACAAGAUGUUAUCAUGAGUAAGCAUUUUCGCAUGAUUAAAGGUUUACCGGUGUAAGAUGGGGAUGCGUUCCAUUAGAUAGUAGGCGGGGUAACGGCCCACCUAGUCUUCGAUGGAUAGGGGUUCUGAGAGGAAGGUCCCCCACAUUGGAACUGAGACACGGUCCAAACUCCUACGGGAGGCAGCAGUGAGGAAUAUUGGUCAAUGGACGAGAGUCUGAACCAGCCAAGUAGCGUGAAGGAUGAAGGUUCUAUGGAUUGUAAACUUCUUUUAUACGGGAAUAAACGAAUCCACGCGUGGAUUUUUGCAUGUACCGUAUGAAUAAGGAUCGGCUAACUCCGUGCCAGCAGCCGCGGUAAUACGGAGGAUCCGAGCGUUAUCCGGAUUUAUUGGGUUUAAAGGGAGCGUAGAUGGGUUGUUAAGUCAGUUGUGAAAGUUUGCGGCUCAACCGUAAAAUUGCAAUUGAUACUGGCAGUCUUGAGUACAGUUGAGGUAGGCGGAAUUCGUGGUGUAGCGGUGAAAUGCUUAGAUAUCACGAAGAACUCCGAUUGCGAAGGCAGCUUACUAACCUGUAACUGACAUUGAUGCUCGAAAGUGUGGGUAUCAAACAGGAUUAGAUACCCUGGUAGUCCACACGGUAAACGAUGAAUACUCGCUGUAGGCGAUAUACAGUCUGCGGCCAAGCGAAAGCAUUAAGUAUUCCACCUGGGGAGUACGCCGGCAACGGUGAAACUCAAAGGAAUUGACGGGGGCCCGCACAAGCGGAGGAACAUGUGGUUUAAUUCGAUGAUACGCGAGGAACCUUACCCGGGCUUAAAUUGCAACCGAAUAUGGCGGAAACGCUAUAGCUAGCAAUAGCGGUUGUGAAGGUGCUGCAUGGUUGUCGUCAGCUCGUGCCGUGAGGUGUCGGCUUAAGUGCCAUAACGAGCGCAACCCUUGCCGAUAGUUACUAACAGGUUAUGCUGAGGACUCUGUCGGGACUGCCAUCGUAAGAUGUGAGGAAGGUGGGGAUGACGUCAAAUCAGCACGGCCCUUACGUCCGGGGCUACACACGUGUUACAAUGGGGGGUACAGAGGGCUGCUACCACGCAAGUGGAUGCCAAUCCCAAAAACCUCUCUCAGUUCGGAUUGAAGUCUGCAACCCGACUUCAUGAAGCUGGAUUCGCUAGUAAUCGCGCAUCAGCCACGGCGCGGUGAAUACGUUCCCGGGCCUUGUACACACCGCCCGUCAAGCCAUGGGAGCCGGGGGUACCUGAAGUGCGUAACCGCAAGGAGCGCCCUAGGGUAAAACUGGUGACUGGGGC